CAGCACUCUGUUGAGCUUAGAGCACUUAGAGAAAAGGAGGAGAAGGCAGACCAGUGAGCAGUAGGAUCAAACGGCUGUCCAGUGAGCGCAAAUUCCAUGAAAAAUGAUUGCUCCACUUCUGCGGUGAGCCUUGGACUUUCAUCUAAUGCAUCACCAGCUCGAGGCUCCAGAUGUCCUCAAUUCAUUACGAGGCAAAGCGUCCCAGUUGUUGCCUGGCAGCAGUGAGCUUUUCCACAUCAGCUCUUUUGCUGUGUGAAGGAGCAGAUCAGACGAGGAAGUGAGCUGGAGGUCUGCUGUUUGUCAUCCGGGGGCCCCCACCCUCCCUCCUUUGAGAAGGAUUUAGCGACUGAAGCAUUGUAUGUGUGUGAGGGAGAGUGUCUGGGCACUCACACACUAACACAGACUGGUGGGUUGGUUGGGGGGUCACGGGUCACUGACCUGCCCAGCUCCGUGAGAGAGAACAAAGCCUCAGUCAGGCCAAUCAAAGAGCAGGUUGGCUCCGGGCUUCACUCCAAGAGUCCCGGCCCACAUUGAAGGUACCAGGGGUCCGGGCCCAAACAUGUGAAUAAGGCGGGCGCUCAUAAGAAAUAAUCAAAUCCCCAGCCGUCUGGAGAGCCAGUUAUGUCAAAACCGUCUAUCCUCCUCCAUUCUGUUCUCUCCAUGAAGCUGGAACGAAGAUCUCCCUCCUUUUCGCCAACAUCCCUCCCUUCAGCUUUGCUCAUCACUUUGAAGUCUGCUUUCUUUUGUUCUAUACAUAACUCAAGCUGAUGUUUUUGAAAAAGCUAAUUUGUAUGCAUUUCCAGUGACAUGGCUGCCACCCAGAAUUCUUCACAAAGGUCUGGCAGAGAGGUGAACGUCUGAAGAAUGGGCCCACAGACAACUCAGCAAAAACAUGACGACGGACCUUUGAAUUAUUGUCACUGUGCAAAUCGGAGAAUAACAGAUUAGGGAUUUGAAGAUGAAAUCACUCAGAGAAUAGGAAGUUUGGGGAGGAUUUUCUAGCUUUCUCUGUCAAUUACUUUCUCUCCUGAACCACUUAUUCUCAAACAUGAUGCCCACAUUUGAGGGAGCAGACAGAUUAAAGGUGGACAAAUAUUUGAACUAGUUUUGUUAAAAUUUAAAUGAGGGGCUUUCAGUAAAGGAAAGUGAUAUUAGGGCCCUGUUGUUACAUUUUUUUCCGCAGACUUGUUCAUGCUCUUCAGUGUGAAAUACUUAUCAUUAACUGUUCAAAUUGUUCUCAAUUGUUAAAUAUUUUACAAUUUAAAAUAAUAAUAAAUAAAUUAAUUAUAUAUUAUUAUAUAUUAUUAUUA